rnacentral:rRNA from 1 species
CCUACGGGAGGCUGCAGUGGGGAAUAUUGGACAAUGGGGGCAACCCUGAUCCAGCCAUGCCGCGUGUGUGAAGAAGGCCCUCGGGUUGUAAAGCACUUUCAGUGAGGAAGAACGCCUGGUGGUUAAUACCCAUCAGGAAAGACAUCACUCACAGAAGAAGCAUCGGCUAACUCCGUGCCAGCAGCCGCGGUAAUACGGAGGGUGCGAGCGUUAAUCGGAAUUACUGGGCGUAAAGCGCGCGUAGGUGGCUUGAUAAGCCGGUUGUGAAAGCCCCGGGCUCAACCUGGGAACGGCAUCCGGAACUGUCAAGCUAGAGUGCAGGAGAGGAAGGUAGAAUUCCCGGUGUAGCGGUGAAAUGCGUAGAGAUCGGGAGGAAUACCAGUGGCGAAGGCGGCCUUCUGGACUGACACUGACACUGAGGUGCGAAAGCGUGGGUAGCAAACAGGAUUAGAUACCCGAGUAGUC